rnacentral:rRNA from 1 species
CAGUCGCCGCGGGAAUACGGAGGGAGCUAGCGUUGUUCGGAAUUACUGGGCGUAAAGCGCACGUAGGCGGUUAUUCAAGUCAGAGGUGAAAGCCCGGGGCUCAACCCCGGAACUGCCUUUGAAACUAGAUGACUGGAAUCUUGGAGAGGUCAGUGGAAUUCCGAGUGUAGAGGUGAAAUUCGUAGAUAUUCGGAAGAACACCAGUGGCGAAGGCGACUGACUGGACAAGUAUUGACGCUGAGGUGCGAAAGCGUGGGGAGCGAACAGGAUUAGAUACCCCCGUAGUCCCUGUCUCUUAUAC